UAAAAAUAUUCUUAAAACUGGAGCACAGUACUUAGCACUAUUCGCUUUACGUUACUGUUAAUUGUAAUAUUCCUAUUAACUAUGUUUAUUCGGACAAAAACGGACAUAUUCAAGAAGAUUAGCACUCGACGGAGUUUCGAUUCUGAUAAAUUUUACAAUGUUGGAGAAAAACUGCAAGAAAUUAUCUUCCUUAUGGAUUUUAGAUGAUCAUCGGCCAAUUUGGUUUUUUUCCUUGUGAAUCUGAAACCGUGAAAGAGGUUAUUCUCUUAUAAAUGUAUUUUCAAACAAAGCGAUUAUUCUUAGUGCAAAAAUUCGAGUCUGAGCGUAAUUAUAUUUAAAAAAACCCAUGAAUAAAGUUUAUAUCACACUGCAAAUUAAUUAUCUCAAUUUAAAAAUUUUUUGGUGUAUUAUUCACAUUCAAUUUUAAUGAUUUUGAUGGUUUCAGUUACGUUUGCAUUUCCUCCUCUGAAACUACGGAAUUCCCCCUAGAGGGAAAUUUCCCGCCUGAUUGAGAACCUUUGACCUAGAAACAUAGAUCUAUGAAAGAUAAUUUGUUAAGAGAUGUUUAAUUGCGUACACUUUUCGAAACGCUUUGCGUAACUAUUUUCAUAUUUCUACUUUUUCGGCAUGUAUAAAAAGAUAUUAUUUGGAUAAUUUGUUGGCUAGAAGUGUAUAAAGGUUGGAAUGUCUAUUAUCAAUUUGUGUUUAAAUCUUCAGUUCUACAUAAGUAUGUAUUCCUUUUCUGAGGAAUUUCAGUUGUAGUAUAAUCCCGGUU